CAAAGGCUUGGUCCUGACUUUAUUAUCAUCUCUAGCUAAAAUUACACAUGCAAGUUUCCGCCCCCCUGUGAGAAUGCCCACGAUUCCCUUAUGAGAACAUGGAGCUGGUAUCAGGCACAACCCACUUAGCCCACAACGCCUUGCUUAGCCACACCCCCAAGGGAAAUCAGCAGUGAUAAAUAUUAAGCCAUAAGUGAAAACUUGACUUAGUUACAGCUACUAGGGCCGGUAAAACUCGUGCCAGCCACCGCGGUUAUACGAGAGACCCAAGUUGAUAAAAAACGGCGUAAAGAGUGGUUAAGACACCCCCCCCCCACUAAAGCCAAACGCUUUCAAAGCUGUUAUACGCACCCGAAGGUAUGAAGCCCAAACACGAAAGUAGCUUUACAAAAUCUGAAUCCACGAAAGCUAAGAAACAAACUGGGAUUAGAUACCCCACUAUGCCUAGCCCUAAACAUCGACCCCCCCCCCACAACAAAAAUCCGCCCGGGAAUUACAAACAUUAGUUUAAAACCCAAAGGACUUGGCGGUGCUUAACACCCCCCUAGAGGAGCCUGUUCUAGAAUUGAUAACCCCCGUUAAACCUCACCCUCCCUUGUUUUACCCGCCUAUAUACCACCGUCGUCAGCUUACCCUGUGAAGGCUUAAUAGUAAACAAAAUUGGCAUACCCCAAAACGUCAGGUCGAGGUGUAGUGUAUGGGAGGGGAAGAAAUGGGCUACAUUUGCUAACAAUAGCAAAUACGAAUGAUGCAUUGAAACAUGCAACUGA
rnacentral:rRNA from 1 species